rnacentral:misc_RNA from 1 species
CGACGAGACUAUCUGAGACCUGGAGGUUGUAGCUUUAACAGGAGAGGGAGAGAGCCUAUUUCUUCUGGAAGAGGAAGUUUUGCUUCAAAUGAUUCAUGGGGAACUAGGAAUUACUCAAGCAUGAAUCGGGAUUUGAGCAGAAACUUGUCCAAUAAAGGUUUCUUGAUCAAAACAGAUGAUAAUGCUGGAGCUGGUGAGAUACUAAAUGAAAGUUUGUGGGGUCAAGGAAGGGACAGAGAAACACAGCAAUCACAAAAUUGGGAGAAGCCAAAAUCUGCAUCAAAUUUAGAAACUAAAAGUGUCCAUCCUGUGCUAUCAUCAGGAUCAUUUCCUAGUGUUAAACAGGAUAUUGCAAUGGCACCUUCCUCUGCGGUGGUGACACGAUCUGCAAUCAAAAUUAACGAAACAGACAAGAUAUGGCAUUACCAGGA